rnacentral:rRNA from 1 species
UCGGAUUACUGGGCGUAAGCGCACGCAGGCGGUCUGUCAAGUCGGAUGUGAAAUCCCCGGGCUCAACCUGGGAACUGCAUUCGAAACUGGCAGGCUAGAGUCUUGUAGAGGGGGGUAGAAUUCCAGGUGUAGCGGUGAAAUGCGUAGAGAUCUGGAGGAAUACCGGUGGCGAAGGCGGCCCCCUGGACAAAGACUGACGCUCAGGUGCGAAAGCGUGGGGAGCAAACAGGAUUAGAUACCCUGGUAGUCCACGCCGUAAACGAUGUCGAUUUGGAGGUUGUUCCCUUGAGGAGUGGCUUCCGGAGCUAACGCGUUAAAUCGACCGCCUGGGGAGUACGGCCGCAAGGUUAAAACUCAAAUGAAUUGACGGGGGCCCGCACAAGCGGUGGAGCAUGUGGUUUAAUUCGAUGCAACGCGAAGAACCUUACCUACUCUUGACAUCCAGAGAACUUUCCAGAGAUGGAUUGGUGCCUUCGGGAACUCUGAGACAGGUGCUGCAUGGCUGUCGUCAGCUCGUGUUGUGAAAUGUUGGGUUAAGUCCCGCAACG